rnacentral:rRNA from 1 species
AACCUUCGCAAUGUGCUAACGCACGACGAGGGGACCCGAAGUGCUGCAGCAUUGCUGCAGCUUUUGCCAAGUGCAAACAGCUUGGCGAAUAAGGGGUGGGUAAGACGGGUGCCAGCCGCCGCGGUAAUACCCGCGCCCCAAGUGGUAUCCACUAUUAUUGGGUCUAAAGCGUCCGUAGCCGGUCUGGUAAGUCUUCGGUGAAAUUCACUAGCAAACUAGUGAGCGUGCCGGAGAUACUGCCAGACUUGGGACCGGGAGAGGGUAGGGGUACUCCUAGGGGAGGGGUAAAAUCCUAUAAUCCUAGGGGGACCACCGGUGGCGAAGGCGCCUACCUAGAACGGUUCCGACGGUGAGGAACGAAAGCUAGGGGAGCGAUCGGGAUUAGAUACCCCGGUAGUCCUAGCCGUAAACGAUGCCCGCUUGGUGUUGCAAUCUCUUCGGGAGAUUGUAGUGCCGGAGUGUAGAUGUUAAGCGGGCCACCUGGGGAGUACGGUCGCAAGACUGAAACUUAAGGGAAUUGGCGGGGGAGCACACAAGGGGUGGAGGCUGCGGUUCAAUUGGAUCCAACGCCGGACAUCUCACGGGGGUUGACAGCAGAAUGAAGGUCAGUCUGAAGGGCUUACCUGACAAGCUGAGAGGUGUUGCAUGGCCAUCGUCAGCUCGUACCGUGAGGCGUGCGGUUAAGUCCGUUAACGAGCGAGACCCGCACCCCAUGUUGCUACUCUGCAAAGAGGCACUCAUGGGGGACCGCUGGUGAUAAACCAGAGGAAGGUGCGGGCGACGGUAGGUCAGUAUGGCCCGAAUAUCCCCGGCUACACGCGGCCUACAAUGUCGGAGACAAUGGGUUGCAACCCCGAAAGGGGAAGCCAAUCCUCUAAACUCCGACUUAGUACGGAUCGAGGGUUGUAACUCACCCUCGUGAAGCUGGAAUCCCUAGUAAACGAACGUCACUAUCGUUCGUUGAAUACGUCCCCGCUCCUUGCACACACUGCCCGUCAAGCCAUCCGAGUGGAUUCCAAACGAGGCCUAGCCCUGUGGUUAGGUCAAGUUUGGUUUCUGUGAGGAGGGCU